rnacentral:rRNA from 1 species
UGGGGAAUAUUGGACAAUGGCGCAAGCCUGAUCCAGCCAUGCCGCGUGAGUGAUGAAGGCCCUAGGGUUGUAAAGCUCUUUCACCGGUGAAGAUAAUGACGGUAACCGGAGAAGAAGCCCCGGCUAACUUCGUGCCAGCAGCCGCGGUAAUACGAAGGGGGCUAGCGUUGUUCGGAUUUACUGGGCGUAAAGCGCACGUAGGCGGACUAUUAAGUCAGGGGUGAAAUCCCGGGGCUCAACCCCGGAACUGCCUUUGAUACUGGUAGUCUUGAGUUCGAGAGAGGUGAGUGGAAUUCCGAGUGUAGAGGUGAAAUUCGUAGAUAUUCGGAGGAACACCAGUGGCGAAGGCGGCUCACUGGCUCGAUACUGACGCUGAGGUGCGAAAGCGUGGGGAGCAAACAGG